CCUACGGGUGGCAGCAGUGGGGAAUAUUGGACAAUGGGCGAAAGCCUGAUCCAGCCAUGCCGCGUGUGUGAAGAAGGCCUUCGGGUUGUAAAGCACUUUCAGUGGGGAAGAAAGCCUUGGGGCUAAUACCCUCGAGGAAGGACAUCACCCACAGAAGAAGCACCGGCUAACUCCCGUGCCAGCAGCCGCGGUAAUACGGAGGGUGCGAGCGUUAAUCGGAAUUACUGGGCGUAAAGCGCGCGUAGGCGGUCUGAUAAGCCGGUUGUGAAAGCCCCGGGCUCAACCUGGGAACGGCAUCCGGAACUGUCAGGCUAGAGUGCAGGAGAGGAAGGUAGAAUUCCCGGUGUAGCAGUGAAAUGCGUAGAGAUCGGGAGGAAUACCAGUGGCGAAGGCGGCCUUCUGGACUGACACUGACGCUGAGGUGCGAAAGCGUGGGUAGCAAACAGGAUUAGAUACCCGAGUAGUC
rnacentral:rRNA from 1 species